rnacentral:rRNA from 1 species
GGCGUGCAUAACACAUGCAAGUCGAGCGGAAAGGCCCUUCGGGGUACUCGAGCGGCGAACGGGUGAGUAACACGUGAGUAACCUGCCCUGGACUUUGGGAUAACCCUCGGAAACGGGGGCUAAUACCGGAUACGACAUUCCACCGCAUGGUGUGUUUGUGGAAAGUUUCGGUCUGGGAUGGGCUCGCGGCCUAUCAGCUUGAUGGUGGGGUGAUGGCCUACCAAGGCGACGACGGGUAGCCGGCCUGAGAGGGCGACCGGCCACACUGGGACUGAGACACGGCCCAGACUCCUACGGGAGGCAGCAGUGGGGAAUAUUGCACAAUGGGCGGAAGCCUGAUGCAGCGACGCCGCGUGAGGGAUGACGGCCUUCGGGUUGUAAACCUCUAUCAGCAGGGACGAAGGGCAAGUGACGGUACCUGCAGAAGAAGCGCCGGCCAACUACGUGCCAGCAGCCGCGGUAAGACGUAGGGCGCGAGCGUUGUCCGGAUUUAUUGGGCGUAAAGAGCUCGUAGGCGGCUUGUCGCGUCGACUGUGAAAACCCGCGGCUCAACCGCGGGCCUGCAGCCGAUACGGGCAGGCUAGAGUUCGGUAGGGGAGACUGGAAUUCCUGGUGUAGCGGUGAUAUGCGCAGAUAUCAGGAGGAACACCGAUGGCGAAGGCAGGUCUCUGGGCCGAUACUGACGCUGAGGAGCGAAAGCGUGGGGAGCGAACAGGAUUAGAUACCCUGGUAGUCCACGCUGUAAACGUUGGGCGCUAGGUGUGGGGGACCUCUCCCGUUCUCUGUGCCGCAGCUAACGCAUUAAGCGCCGCGCCUGGGGAGUACGGCCGCAAGGCUA